UCAAACGUGAGUAAGUUGACCCAAAAUUUGGAUGACCCUUCAGGACUGGGGGCAUUCUGCAUCUCUGCUGAACAGGAGAGAGGGAGAAGAGGGGAUGAUGCAGGAGACAGACAGCAGUACUGGCAAAGAUUUCAAUCACGGGUGAUGGAUCCAUAUUUGGAUGGCCUCAUUGCCCAUCUCGAGAGACGUUUCUGCGAGGUUGGAGUCGUGGCUGCAUUUGGGAUACUCGGUCCUCAAGCAGCUACACUCCCUGACGACACUGCACACACAAAACUGAGGAUACUGGCAGAGAAGUUUUGUUCCCGUGUCGAUUUUGGCACAGUCCUUGAAGAAUGGGCCUCUUUCAAGGAGCAAGUGGUCGCUGGUCCACUCAAGAACAAGACACAGCUGGCCAUACUGUCUGAUCUGUCCUCAAAAU